rnacentral:rRNA from 1 species
GAUAAACGCUGGCGGCGCACAUAAGACAUGCAAGUCGAACGAAAGUCGUCUUAACGAAGAAGAAGCGGAAAUAGAAGAUUUAUCUGAAAUUGAAACGGAAAUAGACUUAAGACAAAUGGCUUUAGUGGCGGACUGGUGAGUAACACGUAAGGAACCUACCUAUUAGAGGGGAAUAACAGUGAGAAAUCAUUGCUAAAACCGCAUAUGCUCACAGUAUCGCAUGAUACAGUGAGGAAAAGAGAAAUCUGCUAAUAGAUGGCCUUGCGACUGAUUAGCUAGUUGGUAUGGUAAGAGCAUACCAAGGCGACGAUCAGUAGCCGGACUGAGAGGUUGAACGGCCACAUUGGGACUGAGAUACGGCCCAGACUCCUACGGGAGGCAGCAGUCGGGAAUAUUGCGCAAUGGAGGGAACUCUGACGCAGUGACGCCGCGUAUGGGAAGAAGGUUUUAGGAUUGUAAACCAUUUUAGACAGGGAAGAAAAUGACAGUACCUGUAGAAUAAGCUCCGGCUAACUACGUGCCAGCAGCCGCGGUAACAC